CCCAGUUAAAGUUAGGACAGAAAUAAUAGUGGGAAUUUUUUUGUCCAUAAGACUGUCAUGUGUGAUAUUUGGGACAUACUGAUACUAAAAAAAAAUUCAUCGUUUGAUCAUCUGGCAUUCAAAUUUCCCUGGG
rnacentral:miRNA from 14 species